rnacentral:rRNA from 1 species
UACGUAGGGUGCAAGCGUUGUCCGGAAUUAUUGGGCGUAAAGAGCUCGUAGGCGGUUUGUCGCGUCUGCUGUGAAAACGCGAGGCUCAACCUCGCGCCUGCAGUGGGUACGGGCAGACUAGAGUGCGGUAGGGGAGAUUGGAAUUCCUGGUGUAGCGGUGGAAUGCGCAGAUAUCAGGAGGAACACCGAUGGCGAAGGCAGAUCUCUGGGCCAUUACUGACGCUGAGGAGCGAAAGCGUGGGGAGCGAACAGG